CAUUGAUUUCUCCCUUCUGAUGAAUCAUGAUGUCAUUAAUUUGAUGUUGUGGGGAGUCAGGACUGUUACUUUGAAAAAAUUAGAGUGUUUAAAGCAAGCACGCGCUUGAAUACAUCAGCAUGGAAUAAUGAAAUAGGACGUUCGAUUCUAUUUUGUUGGUUUCUAGGAUCAACGUAAUGAUUAAUAGGGAUAGUUGGGGGCAUUAGUAUUCAAUUGUCAGAGGUGAAAUUCUUGGAUUUAUUGAAGACUAACUACUGCGAAAGCAUUUGCCAAGGAUGUUUUCAUUAAUCAAGAACGAAAGUUAGGGGAUCGAAGACGAUCAGAUACCGUCGUAGUCUUAACCAUAAACUAUGCCGACUAGGGAUCGGAUGAUGUUAAUUUUUUAAUGACUCAUUCGGCGCCUUACG
rnacentral:rRNA from 1 species